rnacentral:rRNA from 1 species
UGGGUAGUCCGCACGAGCGCACCUUACUUUUAGUUGCUACCAUUCAGUUGGGCACUCUAAAAGAACUGCCAGUGAUAAGCUGGAGGAAGGUGGGGAUGACGUCAAGUCCUCAUGGCCCUUACGUGUUGGGCUACACACGUGCUACAAUGGUACUCACAGAGAGAUGCGAAGAGGCAACUCUAAGCUAAUCCCAAAAAGGUACCUCAGUUCGGAUUGUACUCUGCAACUCGAGUGCAUGAAGCUGGAAUUGCUAGUAAUCGCGGAUCAGCGCGCCGCGGUGAAUACGUUCCCGGGUCUUGUACACACCGCCCGUCACACCAUGGAAGUUGGUUACACCUUAAGGCAAAGUAUAAAACCUUUGACUACGGUAUGAUCAGCGACUGGGGUGAAGUCGUAACAAGGUAGCCGUAGGGGAACCUGCGGCUGGAUCACCUCCUUUCU